GACGUCGGCGGUGUAGUCGGGGAUCUCGAAGGAGACGGCGACGUGGGAUUGGGCGGCGAGGUUGUAGACCUCAUCGGGGAGGAGAGCGUCGACCCAGCGGCGGAGGGAGGAUGCAUCGGAGAGGUCGGCAUAGUGGAGCUUCAUGCGGGCCUUGACGGCGUUGUGGGGGUCGACGUAGAGGUGGUCUAGGCGGGCGGUGUUGAAAUUGGAGGAGCGCCGGAUGAGGCCGUGCACCUCGUAUCCGUUCCCCAACAGGAACUCCGUCAGGUACG
rnacentral:lncRNA from 1 species